rnacentral:tRNA from 2 species
GAAAAUAUUGUUUAAUGGUAAAACAAUUGUCUUUUAAACAAUUUAUGUAUGGUUCGAUUCCAACUAUUUUCA